GACGAACGCUGGCGGCGUGCUUAACACAUGCCAGUCGAACGGAAAGGCCCCCUUGUGGGGUACUCGAGUGGCGAACGGGUGAGUAACACGUGAGUAACCUACCCUUUACUUUGGGAUAACUUCAGGAAACUGGGGCUAAUACCGGAUAGGAGCUCCUGCUGCAUGGUGGGGGUUGGAAAGUUUCGGCGGUUGGGGAUGGACUCGCGGCUUAUCAGCUUGUUGGUGGGGUAGUGGCUCACCAAGGCUUUGACGGGUAGCCGGCCUGAGAGGGUGACCGGCCACAUUGGGACUGAGAUACGGCCCAGACUCCUACGGGAGGCAGCAGUGGGGAAUAUUGCACAAUGGGCGGAAGCCUGAUGCAGCAACGCCGCGUGCGGGAUGACGGCCUUCGGGUUGUAAACCGCUUUCGCCUGUGACGAAGCGUGAGUGACGGUAAUGGGUAAAGAAGCACCGGCUAACUACGUG
rnacentral:rRNA from 1 species